rnacentral:rRNA from 1 species
AGUGGCAGACGGGUGAGUAACAUGUGGGUAUCUACCCUUUGGCCUGGAAUAACACGAGGAGACUUGUGCUAAUACCGGAUAAGUCUUUACGGAGAAAGCUUUAUGCACCAUUGGAUGAGCCCGCACUUGAUUAGUUUGUUGGUAGGGUAAUGGCCUACCAAGACUAUGAUCAAUAGCUGAUUUGAGAGGAUGAUCAGCCACAUUGGGACUGAGACACGGCCCAAACUCCUACGGGAGGCAGCAGUGGGGAAUCUUGCACAAUGGAGGAAACUCUGAUGCAGCGAUGCCGCGUGAGUGAAGAAGGCCUUUGGGUUGUAAAGCUCUUUCGUCGGGGAAGAAAAUGACUGUACCCGAAUAAGAAGGUCCGGCUAACUUCGUGCCAGCAGCCGCGGUAAUACGAAGGGACCUAGCGUAGUUCGGAAUUACUGGGCUUAAAGAGUUCGUAGGUGGUUGAAAAAGUUGGUGGUGAAAUCCCAGAGCUUAACUCUGGAACUGCCAUCAAAACUUUUCAGCUAGAGUAUGAUAGAGGAAAGCAGAAUUUCUAGUGUAGAGGUGAAAUUCGUAGAUAUUA